CUGUUUGAGAGGAGGUACGUCGAUCACAUACUGCUGUUCUUUUCAUGACGUUGUGUUGGUUUGCAAUAUUGACAAGGUGCAGAAUGAUCGUCUGUGGUGUGGAGCGACUCAUGCUGAAUGGAGAAGGCCAUGAGUGAACCGUAAAUGCCGGUCUGCUCAGAGGAAGCAGCACAAGGAGGGCCUCCCCUGAACUCGACGAGCGGCCGCGCGUGCCCCCGCGAUGGGCGACCACGACCCAGAGAGCUCGCUGGCCCGCGGCGUCGACAGGGAGAGCGACAGCAUCGACACCAAUCCGAGGUUCCUCCUGGGCCGUCCCGACGCCCUCAACGGCGUCCUGAGUUCGCCGGACGCCGCCUCCAGCGACAGCUCCUCAUGCAGGCAGCAGGAUACCAGCGCCCGGACGCCCUCCCCUGGCCAGUGGCCGGCGCCGACGCCGCCCGAGGCCAUGUCCAUAGCCGUGGCCAACUUCAUCCAGCAGCUGUUUCCUUCGCUGGUGUCGGUGACGAAGACGCUGCCUUCGUGGCUGGCCGCCUUCUGCCCUCACAUCGCGCUGCUGAUCGAGCGCUUGGCGGAGGACGAGCGCGCGCACGUGCUCGGCCGCCUGCGCCGCCACAUGCACCUCAACCAGGACGGCUCGCUCACCAUGUCGCUGGUGGCCAUGUCCAUCCUGCGCCUCCAUCCUGACGUGGUGGAGAGCCCGAGCUGGAGACACAGGGACGCCGAGGCCAUCCGCCUGCCGCUGCUCAUCCGAGAGAGACUGGCGUGCGGCAAGUUCGUGCCCCUCGAGCACGUGCUGUACGGAGAGUGCCUGAUGGAGGGCACGGUGUGUCACGUGGAUGCCCAGGGCAAGGACGUGGCCCCGGAGCCCUACCCCCUGAACGUCAAGCGGCACUUGCCUCCGCCGGACUUCGUGGCGGCCAUCACCCGCAGCGACGUGAUGCGCGCCCUCAUGACGCAUGGCAUGUGCCUCGCCCGCCGGUUCCCCGUGCAGGCCGCCGCCAUGCACGGCCUCGCGCACCACUUGUGGGAGCUCAUGUUCACCGAGAAGAUGACCGCCCCGGCCGCCAUGCAGCUGUACAACGCCUUCUUCCAGGAGUUCGAGAAGCAGCUGUCGCUCAUGACGGUCCUCCCGAUGGACAGGUUCCCCGCAUGGCUGUUGCAGAGCCUCCCCGCGCCCCUCGAAGCCGUGGGCGCAGACGACCAGGCGACUGAGAGUGCGACGUGGAGCUCCGCCAGCAGCACGUGAGGAGAGCCAGGAGCACCCCCAGCAGCAGGAGGGCGGGCGUCGGGGCUCGGGCGCUGCUGCUGUUGUCGUCGUCGGAGGGGAGACCGUACCACACCCUGAGGGACUCCCGCACCAGCUGAGCGUCUCGGGAGUCUACGGGCACGCUGGUGGUGCCCUCCGGGUUCGCGGGGACGGGGUCGUUCGGCCUGGGGGCGGGAGGGACGUGUGAGACGCUUGUUUGUGUCGGAGACUCUGACUGUAAGGUUUCUUCCUCUCUCUCUCUCUCUCUCUCUCUCUCUCUCUCUCUCUCUCUCUCUCUCUGAGCCUCACUUGCCUCAAUAACCUUGUCAGUCAUGAAAGUCCCUCUCGCUCUCACUCACUCCUUAACACCCACCCUCCUUCCCUCCCUUCUUUCUUCCUCCCUCCUUCCCUCCUUUCCUCCCUCCCUCCCUCCCCCCGCUCUACCUUAGCGGCGAAGAAAAAAAUACGUAAGGAGAUUAAAGAUAAAUGCUAAGCCUGUAUGAGGCCGAAACCCUUGUGAAGAGAGACACAACAGGUCAUCGUGUUAGAGUAAGGUCAGGAUAGAGGGUCAACCGCACUUUUGUGAAUACACGAUGCAGAGAAAAAAAUGUUAACAAUAUAAUGAGGUGCUCUAUGAAAGGUACUCUACAAGAAAUGCUCUAUGAGAGGUGCUCUGUGAAAGGUACUCUAUAAGAUUGUGCUCCAAAGGUGCUUUAUAAGAGGUGCUCUAUGAGAGAUACUCGAAAAGAAAAUGCUCUAUAAAAGGUGCUUUAUAAGAGUUUCUUCAUGCAAGGUGUUCAAUGAAAAGUACUCUAUAAAAAGUGUUCUACGAAAGGUGCUUUACAGAUGCUCAAUGAAAGGAACUCUAUAUGAGGCGCUCUACAUAAGACGGACAUCCCAUCACCAUGUAUACAACGUCCUCUGAUUGACAAUGCUAUGUUGGAACGACCAAUGAGGAAAGAAAAACGGUAAAAACAGAAACACAUCAACAGAGAGAGAAAGGAUGGUGUGUGACUCGUGUCUUCCGAUGCCAGAUUCACUCCAAUCCGUCUAUGGAAAUGUUUGUUGACGUUAAAUUUGUAAAAGGGAGUGAGAAAUAAAUGGAGGUUGUGA
rnacentral:misc_RNA from 1 species